GCUUUCCUGCCCACCAACAUUCUUCAAGUUUAUUGAGCCCUCAGCAAAAAAAUGGAAGCUUCCUGUACGUUUGUCAAGUGGAGGAUUGUCCCAGAAUGGGUAACACUCUAUCGGCGAUAAACAACUCUAGAGGAAACUUGCGGGCUCACAUCAAAGUAUGACGUACUUGGUAUGACAACUUGAUGGAGAUGGUUGUUUUGAUGCAUUUUUUUGUCUUUAGACGGAUAAAGAGUUUAACACACUUUGUAAAGAAAUUGAUGCUACUAAGUAGAUGGGCGUCCAAUUCCUUAGGUACCACUCGAAUAAAAAGAACGAGACAGGUCGUAAGCCAGCCUUCGUGAAGCAGGUCUUGUCUUUUCAAGGUUACCGAAAACCUGUCACACAGAAAGACCUGGAUGAAUUCAUUCCGGAAUACCUUUUUGAUGCAUUUCUACCAGUCUCAUCACACGGAUACGGAAGCCUUUCGGACUUACACUCGUAAAUUGCAACCUCGUCUUAAAGUCAGGAACCGUGCGUUCUACCGAAAGUAGAUCGCCUGUAUGUAUAUUAGGAAGAGAGCUGCUCUUAUGAACCAGUGUCUGGGCGCAUUGUGGAUUUGUACAACUGCCGAUGGAUAGACUUCUAGACGACGGGCGUUCAUCGGCAUCACUGGCCACUGGAUCGCUCCCGACCUGAAAAGGUGUUCCGUAUGCCUUGCCGUUAGGCGUGUCAUAGGAAAGUGCGAUUUUUAAGUGAUUGCCAAUCUUCUAGAAGGUGUGUAAUAUAAGUACGACAUCCUUCACAAAUUGACGGCAAAGGUGACGGACAACAGAAGCAAUUUUGUCAGCGUCAUUUGUAGCAUGCUUGCAUGAUAAGUGCGCUAUAUAAAUAAAUUUUACAUGCAUACAUACAUACAUACAUACAUACAUACAAAGCUUUUCGUCUCUAUGGAGCCUCGUCUCUCCACUCCACCAUCGGGCGAUCAACUUCAAGUAAAAAUGCAUCUCCAAGGGCAGCUUCAUUCGACGUUGUGACCGCGUCCAACUCUAGGACGACACUGCAGCCAGAACAUGUCAGGUCAAACAGGAUGCUGGUCGGAGAAGACAACAUCGGCACUCUUCUAGAGGACGAGCCUUCUGAUUUUUAAGGGACUAAUGAUGACACCGAGUCGUUAUCUGAUCGGGACCAUGAUAAAGAAAUGGAGGAUCAAGGAGAAUCUGCAACAAAGAAAGAGAGUGAAUCCCAAAUUCAAGAAAAGACUGAUGCUGUAUUUAUCCAAUUUCUUUAACGGCAAUCCUCAAUAGUUGCAAAGACGCAACCAACAUUUACAUUCUACCACCUCAUCGUCGGUGUGCAUGCCACACAUUAAACCUGAUUCGCAAGUGCGACAUCUAUAAGGUUCUAGAACCGGCUCUCAAGAACCUAAUGGCAAUCUGAAAUCUGGAACAAGCAAAAUUGAAGCUCUAAGGUUUCUGACAAGAUCAUAGAAAGCCUUGGGAUGCUCUUUAUUAUUCAUAAUGAAACUCGGUGGAAUUCAUAUUUCAAUGCCAUGAGCCAUCUUCAUCACAAAGAAAAGGACCGAACUUAAAGCAUUUUUUGAACAAUUCGGGAUUGCGUGCCUCGCCGAAGAGGAAUUCAUUCGUGAAUACGUCAAAGUGAUGGAGCCCAUAUCAGAAGCAUUGAACGUUCUUCAAGCAGACGUCAACAUCUCUAUUGGUUAUUUACUUCCUACGCUUACCAUCCUUCUCAGCAAGAUGGAAAACCUGAAGGAGAAAGGUGCCAUCAAGCACUGGAAACCUCUCCUAAACACAAUGAUAGAAUCAGUAAAGCGAAGAUUUGCUGAAAGUUUGGUUGACGAAGAGUUGCACAUCGCCUCCAUGGUACAUUAUCUCUUCAAGGCAAAAUGGAUGCCAGAAGGAGAGGAGCGUGAUGCUAAAGUCCAACGUCGUAUAGACGUCUUUUGAUCCUUCAAGAAAGACCAAGUUGAAUUGGACAUUAGGAAUCAGUCUUCUUCAGUGGCCGAUGGUAUUCAAAGUGAUGAUUUGGACUACAGCAAGGAGAAGGAGAAAGAAGAAAAUCAAUCUUGGCAACCACAGUACCGGCGGAGGUCCAACGAGGAGAAUUAUUGUUUCUUGCCGACCAGUCUACAAAGAUAAGCAGCCUGAACAAAUACCCAACAUUAA